rnacentral:rRNA from 1 species
UACGAAGGGGGCUAGCGUUGUUCGGAAUUACUGGGCGUAAAGCGCGCGCAGGCGGCUAUCCAAGUCAGUGGUGAAAGCCUGGAGCUCAACUCCGGAACUGCCAUUGAAACUGUUUAGCUUGAGGAUGAGAGAGGUGAGUGGAAUUCCCAGUGUAGAGGUGAAAUUCGUAGAUAUCGGGAGGAACACCAGUGGCGAAGGCGGCGAUCUGGGAAGAUACUGACGCUGAGGUGCGAAAGCGUGGGGAGCAAACAGG